rnacentral:rRNA from 1 species
GACGAACGCUGGCGGCGUGCUUAACACAUGCAAGUCGAACGAAGUGGCGAACGGGUGAGUAAUGCGUAAUCAACCUGCCCUUCAGAGGGGGACAACAGUUGGAAACGACUGCAAAUACCGCAUACUGAAGGAGGGGAUUGCGUCUGAUUGGCUAGUUGGCGGGGGAACGGCCCACCAAGGCGAGCAUCAGUAGGCGGGCUGGGAGGAGGAACGGCCACAUUGGGACCGGGAACCGGCCCAGACUCCUACGGGGGGCAGCAGUGGGGAAACUUCCGCCAAGGACGAAAGUCUGACGGAGCAACGCCGCGGUAGAGAUGACGGCCUUCGGGUUUUAAAGCUCUGUUAAUCGGGACGCGGUACCGGAAGAGAAAGCCACGGCUAACUACGUGCCAGCAGCCGCGGUAAUAC